CAACCCUUAAGCUUAGCUUAGUAUUGGGAAUCUGCCUAAACCGCAGUUCCUUAAAUCUAGUUGGCAGAGCACAUCUGUACUCUGAGCGUAGUAAUUCAUUAUCUCGCUUUCUGAAGACAGUUGUACGAUCGCCAUAAACCUAUUUAUUUUUUAAU
rnacentral:misc_RNA from 1 species